rnacentral:rRNA from 1 species
GGUUCGUUGAUUGCGACUCGCCGAGAAGUCCAUUGAACCUUAUCAUUUAGAGGAAGGAGAAGUCGUAACAAGGUUUCCGUAGGUGAACCUGCGGAAGGAUCAUUG